GAUGAACGCUGGCGGCGUGCCUAAUACAUGCAAGUCGAGCGAACAGACGAGGAGCUUGCUCCUCUGACGUUAGCGGCGGACGGGUGAGUAACACGUGGAUAACCUACCUAUAAGACUGGGAUAACUUCGGGAAACCGGAGCUAAUACCGGAUAAUAUAUUGAACCGCAUGGUUCAAUAGUGAAAGACGGUUUUGCUGUCACUUAUAGAUGGAUCCGCGCCGCAUUAGCUAGUUGGUAAGGUAACGGCUUACCAAGGCGACGAUGCGUAGCCGACCUGAGAGGGGGAUCGGCCACACGGGAACUGAGACACGGUCCAGACUCCUACGGGAGGCAGCAGUAGGGAAUCUUCCGCAAUGGGCGAAAGCCUGACGGAGCAACGCCGCGUGAGUGAUGAAGGUCUGCGGAUCGUAAAACUCUGUUAUUAGGGAAGAACAAAUGUGUAAGUAACUAUGCACGUCUUGACGGUACCUAAUCAGAAAGCCACGGCUAACUACGUG
rnacentral:rRNA from 1 species